rnacentral:ncRNA from 1 species
AGGCUAAAUACUCCUGACUGACCGAUAGUGAACCAGUACCGUGAGGGAAAGGCGAAAAGAACCCCGGCGAGGGGAGUGAAAUAGAACCUGAAACCGUGUACGUACAAGCAGUGGGAGCACCUUCGUGGUGUGACUGCGUACCUUUUGUAUAAUGGGUCAGCGACUUAUAUUUUGUAGCAAGGUUAACCGUAUAGGGGAGCC